GGUCUCAGCCCAAAAUGUCAACUGUGUGCUUCCUGGCCUGCUAAGUUCCUCCAGCAUGGUGUGUGUGUGUUGAUAAAAUUGGUUGCCAGCUCAGCUUGAUUUUCCCAAUGAUCUACUGCAUGUGCAGCUUGUUUCUGGUCGUGACUCCUCUCUUCAGCGACACCAUAAACUCCCUCGUUGGAAUUGCAGUCGCACUCUCUGGAGCUCCAGUCUACUUCUUCUGUGUUUACCUCCCACCUGAAAAGCAACCCAAGUGCAUAGAAAAGCUUUUACGUAUCAUUUCUUUGUACACGCAGAAGUUGGCACUGUGCUGUCUAACGGAAAAUGAAUUUGAAGAGAAAGAUAUUUAACAAGAAACAACCAAAGAACUGUCCAGAACUGUGGCACCAGAAGUUGUUUACACAAAUGCCAAUCUCUCACACUAUUAAAACUCUGAAUCCUGCCUUCUUGAUUA